rnacentral:rRNA from 1 species
UGAUUGAAGUAAUAAUCAGUAAAACCUGCUCAAUGAUUUUAAAUAGCCGCAGACAUCUGUGCUAAGGUAGCAUAAUCACUUGCCUUUUAAUUAAAGGCUAGAAUGAAUGGUUUAACAUGUAAAUUAUUUUAUUAAAUAGAUUCCUUUAACUUUACUUUUAAGUAAAAAGGCUUAUAUUACUAGAAGGACGACAAGACCCUGUCAAACUUUACAUUUUUGUUUUGCUGGGGCAGCAAAAAAACAAAAUUUUUAUUUAAAAUUAUUUUAUUUCUAACUUUUUAAAUAACAAGUUACUGCAGGGAUAACAGCACAAUCUUCUUUUAAAGUUCUUAUUUUAAAGAAAGUUUGUGACCUCGAUGUUGAAUUAAAAAAUCUAUUUAAGGGCAAAUUCUUAAUAAGAAAGUCUGUUCGACUUUUAAAUUUUU